rnacentral:pre_miRNA from 15 species
CCUGGUCUGCUCUCCAGUGCUCUGGCUGCUUGGGUUCCUGGCAUGCUGAUUUGUGACUUAAGAUUAAAAUCACAUUGCCAGGGAUUACCACGCAACCACGACCUUGGCUGCACCUCCAGA